CGACGAUGGCCGGGUCCCGCGCAAUGGAAACUUCCGAACCCCGCCAGGUCCGGGAGGAAGCAACGGUAAGGAAGCCCUUCCAUGUGCCGCGGGGCAGCCUGGUCGGAGCUAACUAUCA
rnacentral:SRP_RNA from 1 species